CGUGAGAUGUUGGGUUAAGUCCCGCAACGAGCGCAACCCUUGCUUUAGUUGCCAUCAUUCAGUUGGGCACUCUAAAGAGACUGCCGGUGUCAAACCCGGAGGAAGGUGGGGAUGACGUCAAGUCCUCAUGGCCUUUAUGACCAGGGCUACACACGUACUACAAUGGCCGGUACAAAGGGCAGCCACUUAGCGAUAAGGAGCCAAUCCCGUAAGGCCGGUCUCAGUCCGGAUUGGAGUCUGCAACUCGACUCCAUGAAGUUGGAAUCGCUAGUAAUCGCAGAUCAGCACGCUGCGGUGAAUACGUUCCCGGGCCUU
rnacentral:rRNA from 1 species